rnacentral:lncRNA from 1 species
CCAGCUUCCUCCUCUUCCUCCUCCAGCUCCAACUGCAGUGGCAAGGUCUGGGGAUUGAGAGGCCCGGCAUGACUAAGAGAUAUCGUGAAAUUACAACUCAACAAUGAAUUACAGCACAGGCUUUUCACAACUAAGAGACUGUCCAUCAUGGUGCCAGUUUUUCUCAAAAUGGCAUGUGUGCAUGAAAUUCUACAGGCAUAUGGGGUCGUGAUCUGCUAAUCUCCAGUUAUUAUACAAAACUACAGAUACUUGAAAACAGAACCAAAUAAAAAUUCUAGCAGAAGAAGACAAUAUAUGAAAUUUAAUAAUUCAUUUCCUGGGAAUGACAGCAGAAAGGUGAUGACAGAGGAAAGAGCCAAUAAAAUUUGAAGACAGACUACUUUGAAAAGGGACUUUCCAGCUAUCAGUACACUAUCUCACAAUUACCCUUGAACCAGAAGACAAUGAAUGAUUUGCUAAACAGAUGGCAUAGUCUAUGACAUGCAUCAUAUGUGUGAGCAAUCACAGAAGACCAAAUUAUGAUUGUAUGUCCCAGAAAUUCACUUAGAAGCUAAUAGAAAAAAUGAAACCAAAGCCUUUUGGUGAACUAUGACUUGGAAUCCUCCAGGCUUUGGCUUCCAUCACACUCCAUGAACUUGAUGCACAUAAUUUAAUGUAGGCCUCCACCCAAUAUCAUCAGUUCUCUUGCAUGUUGAACCCCCAGUUUCCUGGAUCUGACCAACAUGACCUUAAUGUUCCUAUCAGCUCGACUAAACUUUAAAGAGAUUUCUUCCUCAAUAUGGGCCUCUAACUUCCCUUUUCUUAGAGCAUUUACUUUAGAAAUUUUGCAAUUAUCAAUUUUUUCUCCCUAUUUUUGAGAUGUAAAUUUUCUACAACUCAGGAAUGUCUUUCUCAAGGACAUGAGAGAUAUCCCUUUGAAAUGUAAUUGUGAAAAAUGAUAGCACCUCUAUUUCAAUCUGUGUAGGAGAGUAGGAGCCUAACUCAGGUAAGUGACAUUUAGCAAACUCAGAUGGCCUAAACACAUUCACCAACUUCCCCACUAAUGUACUCCCUACUGGUUCAUGUCAGCAUUUAAUAAUCCUUCUGCUUUCUUUUCAGUGGAGCUGAGUUCAGUCUGUCUCUCUUCUGCAGUGGUCUUCUCUCCCAUUGCAAUGGUCUUGAGUAAAGUGUUCUUUGUUUGUUUUACUUGGAGAUGAUGUCAGUUCAAUAUUGAAGUCUCUCUUCCCUACUACAGUAGUUCAAAUAAAAUCCAUCUUGCCAUUCUUAACAAGUAUUGGUAUAAUUUCUCUUUAACAUUUCUCGUGUCUUUCUCUUAAUUGGUUUCUUCUCUUGUUUUACAGAGCAUGUUAGUCACUAGUUUCUUAAGUCUGAUGAAUGUGCUUUCAUUACAUUUUUAUAUUAAUUGACUGAUAUUUUGGAUGGACACAUUUAUACUGCUUGGUUAAAUACGAUUUUCUCUCAGAAUCAUGUGGAAAUUUCUCCGUUAUUUUCUAGUUUCUGUUUUUGCAGUUGAGAAGUCCAAUAUCAUUUUGCUUCCCUACAUUUUUAAAAAAUGUAACCUGUUUCCAUUCUUUCUUUCUUUUGGUAUUUUGCAUCUGUUUUUAAAAAAGCAAUGAUAUAGUUCCAAAACCAUUGAAGAGUAUAAAGGAUAUUAUAAUAACGUCAUUAUACCCACCAC